rnacentral:rRNA from 1 species
GUCCACGCCCGUAAACGAUGGAUGCUAGUUGUUGUGGGUAUUGACCCCUGCAGUGACGCAGUUAACGCAUUAAGCAUCCCGCCUGGGGAGUACGGCCGCAAGGUUAAACUCAAAGGAAUUGACGGGGGCCCGCACAAGCGGUGGAGCAUGUGGUUCAAUUCGAACGCAACGCGAAGAACCUUACCUGGGUUAAAUCCACCAGAAGUCUGCAGAGAUGCGGAUGUGCCCUUCGGGGAACUGGUGAGAAGGUGCUGCAUGGCUGUCGU